rnacentral:lncRNA from 1 species
GGGAUUAAAUUUAUAUGUUUAAAAUCAUUAAUGAGUCUAUUUUCAAAAAUAAACAAACAAGAGCAUCAUUUGAAUUCUGUACAAUGAGAUAAUUAAUUUUUAGUGAAGAGGGGUCGGAAAUGUCUAACAGUGAAACAUGGGAAACUUUAAAGAAUAAACUGUACUUAUUGGCUGAACAAAAAAAUUUUAAAAUUUUAUGGUAAGAAUAUAUAUGAGUCUAGUUUCAGGGAAAAUUAGCGGAUCUUAAUUUAGAGUUCCC